AAGUCGUAACAAGGUUUCCGUAGGUGAACCUGCGGAAGGAUCAUUACUGAAUGCUUGAGGUUGAGCUGGCAUGCAGGUGCUCACCUCUUUCAUCCAUUCUACACCUGUGCACUUAUUGGGGAGCAAUCCCUGUCUUUACACACUCUUUUAAAUUUAAUGAAUGUCUCUUAUGUGAUAACACGCAUAUAUACAACUUUCAACAACGGAUCUCUUGGCUCUC
rnacentral:misc_RNA from 1 species